rnacentral:rRNA from 1 species
GACGAACGCUGGCGGCGUGCCUAAUACAUGCAAGUAGAACGCUGAAGGAGUAGCUUUCUUCUCUGGAUGAGUUGCGAACGGGUGAGUAACGCGUAGGUAACCUGCCUGGUAGCGGGGGAUAACUUUUGGAAACGAUAGCUAAUACCGCAUAAGAGUAGAUGUUGCAUGACAUUGGCUUAAAAGUUGCAAUUGCAUCACUACCAGAUGGACCUGCGUUGUAUUAGCUAGGGGGUGGGGUAACGGCUCACCAAGGCGACGAUACAUAGCCGACCUGAGAGGGUGAUCGGCCACACUGGGACUGUGACACGGCCCAGACUCCUUGGGGAGGCAGCAGUAGGGCAUCUUCGGCAAUGGACGGAAGUCUGACCGAGCAACGCCGAGUCAGGGAAGAGGGUUGUCGGAUCGUAAAGCUCUGUUGUAAGAGAAGAACGAGUGUGAGAGUGGAAAGUUCACACUGUGACGGUAUCUUAUCAGAAAGGGACGGCUAACUACGUG